rnacentral:sRNA from 1 species
AGAAAAAAGGAAAAAAAAAAGCAAGUGGAAGGCAUCGAACACCCGAC